rnacentral:rRNA from 1 species
UACAGGGGGUGCAAGCGUUGUUCGGAUUUACUGGGCGUAAAGCGUGCGCAGGCGGCUUCGCAAGUCAGACGUGAAAGCCCCGGGCUUAACCUGGGAAUGGCGUUUGAAACUACGGAGCUGGAGUGUGGCAGAGGGAGGUAGAAUUCCACGUGUAGCGGUGAAAUGCGUAGAUAUGUGGAGGAAUACCGAUGGCGAAGGCAGCCGCCUGGGCCAGCACUGACGCUCAUGCACGAAAGCGUGGGGAGCAAACAGG